GACGAACGCUGGCGGCGCGCUUAACACAUGCAAGUCGAACGGAAAGGCCUGCUUUCCCUUGUGGAUUGCGGGUACUCGAGUGGCGAACGGGUGAGUAACACGUGAGUGAUCUGCCCCCAACUUGGGUAUAAGCCUGGGAAACUGGGUCUAAUUCCCGAUAGGACUGCAGGGUGGUGCCUGUGGUGGAAAACGAUUUUCUAGUGGUUGGGGAUGAGCUCGCGGCCUAUCAGCUUGUUGGUGGGGUAAUGGCCUACCAAGGCGGCGACGGGUAGCCGGCCUGGGAGGGUGGACGGCCACAUUGGGACUGAGAUACGGCCCAGACUCCUACGGGAGGCAGCCGUGGGGAAUAUUGCACAAUGGGCGGAAGCCUGAUGCAGCGACGCCGCGUGGGGGAUGACGGCCUUCGGGUUGUAAACUCCUUUCGACCGCGAGGAAGCCACCUGGUUGGAAGGGUGGUGACGGUAGUGGUAGAAGAAGCACCGGCUAACUACGUG
rnacentral:rRNA from 1 species